GACAAACGCUGGCGGCGUGCUUAACACAUGCAAGUCGAACGGAAAGGCCCUGCUUGCAGGGUACUCGAGUGGCGAACGGGUGAGUAACACGUGGGUGAUCUGCCCUGCACUUCGGGAUAAGCUUGGGAAACUGGGUCUAAUACCGGAUAGGAACCAUCUUUAGUGUGGUGGUUGGAAAGUUUUUUCGGUGUAGGAUGAGCUCGCGGCCUAUCAGCUUGUUGGUGGGGUAAUGGCCUACCAAGGCGGCGACGGGUAGCCGGCCUGAGAGGGUGUACGGCCACAUUGGGACUGAGAUACGGCCCAGACUCCUACGGGAGGCAGCAGUGGGGAAUAUUGCACAAUGGGCGCAAGCCUGAUGCAGCGACGCCGCGUGGGGGAUGAAGGCCUUCGGGUUGUAAACUCCUUUCGCUAGGGACGAAGCUUUGUUGUGACGGUACCUAGAUAAGAAGCACCGGCUAACUACGUG
rnacentral:rRNA from 1 species